GAGUCAAGGAGUUGGGGUCUGAGAAGCUCUAGCUUCUUGAUAUUUUCUGGAUAUCAGUUUUCCUGUAACAAACCUCAAGAACUGGUAAUUAGCCCAAACUUCAGUGUGAGCCCAGCUUGAGGCCACCUGGGCUUUUAACAAUGUGUAACUUCUAUCUGCCUUGUGAAGUUGAGGGAUACGAAGGUCUGAAAAACUGGUAUUUACAGAUGAAUGUAACUUAGAGAAGCAGGGAAAGAGGAUGGGUGCUUUUGGUUUGAACCUCAGAUAUGCUGGGUUUAAUGUAGGGCAACUGAUAUCAGGGCCGGCAUCAAUAACAUACUGGGUUGGCCAGGCUGCAGAAACAGGAACCGCUUGAGAACUCUCGGGGUGCUCCCAGAGUCCCUAUCCCUGAGCUGUGGCUCCCGAGUCCUCUGGGGCGGCGGUACCAGGGACCGUGAGGGUGCAAUACCUUAGCGAAGGCACGAGGCGCCUGGACGAGGCCUGGUGCCGACCGAAGCUUUGCGGGCACAACUGUCUGUGCGAGUUGAUCUGAGCAGGCCUGGUGGGGAGGGGGACUGACUGGAGUGAACCAGACUCACGGGAGGCCCAUGCGCACGCUAGAAGGCGAACUGAGACCAACGGGAGACGCUCCUUUGCAGGGAACGUAAUUGUCUGAGGGUCCAGAUACCUGGGAAACCACAAAGUGACCACCGAAGAGCAUGGAGCCAAGCAGAGAGGUCUUGGAUUGCAGAGGCCCAAAGAGCCACCAUCAUAAGCACAUGCCUGGCGCUGGGAACAGGCUAACCACAGGAGGGAAACACACCUACAAGGUAUCCAUCACAGCUGACAGAAGAAUGGAACAAUGCGAUGCCUGGCGCCCAUCUGUUAUGAGAGGUUCGGGGAUUCGAUCGGAGACGUAAAAGAAACUUCCCACUCCAAACAAAUGGACCGAAGGUUUUGAAGGUCUACAUACCGGAAUCCGGCAACACCCUCCAAGUGCCGCGUACUUACUGCU